GACGAACGCUGGCGGCGUGCUUAACACAUGCAAGUCGAACGGAAAGGCCCUGCUUUUGUGGGGUGCUCGAGUGGCGAACGGGUGAGUAACACGUGAGUAACCUGCCCUUGACUUUGGGAUAACUUCAGGAAACUGGGGCUAAUACCGGAUAGGAGCUCCUGCUGCAUGGUGGGGGUUGGAAAGUUUCGGCGGUUGGGGAUGGACUCGCGGCUUAUCAGCUUGUUGGUGGGGUAGUGGCUUACCAAGGAUUUGACGGGUAGCCGGCCUGAGAGGGUGACCGGCCACAUUGGGACUGAGAUACGGCACAGAAUACUACGGGAGGCAGCAGUGGGGAAUAUUGCACAAUGGGCGGAAGCCUGAUGCAGCAACGCCGCGUGCGGGAUGACGGCCUUCGGGUUGUAAACCGCUUUCGCCUGUGACGAAGCGUGAGUGACGGUAAUGGGUAAAGAAGCACCGGCUAACUACGUG
rnacentral:rRNA from 1 species